rnacentral:rRNA from 1 species
GAUGAACGCUGGCGGCGUGCCUAAUACAUGCAAGUCGAGCGAACAGACGAGGCGCUUGCUCCUCUGACGUUAGCGGCGGACGGGUGAGUAACACGUGGAUAACCUACCUAUAAGACUGGGAUAACUUCGGGAAACCGGAGCUAAUACCGGAUAAUAUCUUGAACCGCAUGGUUCAAUAGUAAAAUACGGUUUUGCUGUCACUUAUAGAUGGAUCCGCGCCGAAUUAGCUAGUUGGUAAGUUAACGGCUUACCAAGGCAAGGAUGCGUGGCCGACCUGAGAGGGGGGUCGGCCACCCUGGAACUUAGACACGGUCCAGACUCCUACGGGAGGCAGCAGUAGGGAAUCUUCCGCAAUGGGCGAAAGCAUGACGGAGCAACGCCGCGUCAGUGAUGAAGGUCUUCGGAUCGUAAAACUCUGUCAUUAGGGAAGAACAAAUGUGGAAGUAACUAUGCACGUCUUGACGGUACCUAAUCAGAAAGCCACGGCUAACUACGUG